GCCCCCGUGGCCCAACUGGCAGAGGCGGCCGACUUAAAAUCGGCGUGUUGCGGGUUCGAGUCCCGCCGGGGGCACAC
rnacentral:tRNA from 1 species